GAUGAACGCUAGCGGGAGGCCUAACACAUGCAAGCCGAGCGGUAGAGUUCCUUCGGGGACUUGAGAGCGGCGCACGGGUGCGGAACACGUGUGCAACCUGCCUUUAUCUGGGGGAUAGCCUUUCGAAAGGAAGAUUAAUACCCCAUAAUAUAUUGAUUCGCAUGGAUUGAUAUUGAAAACUCCGGUGGAUAAAGAUGGGCACGCGCAAGAUUAGAUAGUUGGUGAGGUAACGGCUCACCAAGUCAGUGAUCUUUAGGGGGCCUGAGAGGGUGAUCCCCCACACUGGUACUGAGACACGGACCAGACUCCUACGGGAGGCAGCAGUGAGGAAUAUUGGACAGUGGGUGAGAGCCUGAUCCAGCCAUCCCGCGUGAAGGAUGACGGCCCUAUGGGUUGUAAACUUCUUUUGUACAGGGAUAAACCUAGAUACGUGUAUCUAGCUGAAGGUACUGUACGAAUAAGCACCGGCUAACUCCGUGCCAGCAGCCGCCGCAGUAA
rnacentral:rRNA from 1 species